GGUCUUCGGAAGAGGAUCUAUGUUUUUUUACAUCACACACCAUCGUAUGUCUAUAGAAUGUAUUGAAGACCAUCCAAUGGAUGGUCAAUAAAUAAAUCAUACAACUUUCAGCAACGGAUCUCUUGGCUCUCGCAUCGAUGAAGAACGCAGCGAAUUGCGAUAAGUAAUGUGAAUUGCAGAUUUUCAGUGAAUCAUCGAAUCUUUGAACGCACCUUGCGCUCCUUGGUAUUCCGAGGAGCAUGCCUGUUUGAGUGUCAUU
rnacentral:rRNA from 1 species